AUUGAACGCUGGCGGCAGGCCUAACACAUGCAAGUCGAACGGUAGCACAGAGAGCUUGCUCUUGGGUGACGAGUGGCGGACGGGCGAGUAAUGUCUGGGAAACUGCCCGAUGGAGGGGGAUAACUACUGGAAACGGUAGCUAAUACCGCAUAACGUCUUCGGACCAAAGUGGGGGACCUUCGGGCCUCACACCAUCGGAUGUGCCCAGAUGGGAUUAGCUAGUAGGUGGGGUAAAGGCUUACCUAGGCGACGAUCCCUAGCUGGUCUGAGAGGAUGACCAGCCACACUGGAACUGAGACACGGUCCAGACUCCUACGGGAGGCAGCAGUGGGGAAUAUUGCACAAUGGGCGCAAGCCUGAUGCAGCCAUGCCGCGUGUAUGAAGAAGGCCUUCGGGUUGUAAAGUACUUUCAGCGGGGAGGAAGGCGUUAAGGUUAAUAACCUUGGCGAUUGACGUUACCCGCAGAAGAAGCACCGGCUAACUCCGUGCCAGCAGCCGCCGUAA
rnacentral:rRNA from 1 species